GACGAACGCUGGCGGCGUGCCUAACACAUGCAAGUCGAGCGGGGGGAGUACUUCGGUACAAACCUAGCGGCGGACGGGUGAGUAACACGUGGGUAACCUGACCCAAAGUGGGGGAUAGCCUUCCGAAAGGAAGAUUAAUACCGCUUAACCCAUAGCUUCCGCAUGGAAGCAAUGGUAAAGAUUUAUCGCUUUGAGAUGGAACCGCGGGGCAUUAGCUAGUUGGUGAGGUAACGGCUCACCAAGGCCACGGAGCGUAGCCGACCUGAGAGGGGGAUCGGCCACAUUGGAACUGAGACACGGUCCAGACUCCUACGGGAGGCAGCAGUGGGGAAUAUUGCACAAUGGGCGAAAGCCUGAUGCAGCAACGCCGCGUGAGUGAUGAAGGCCUUCGGGUUGUAAAGCUCUGUCUUUUGGGACGAUAAUGACGGUACCAAAGGAGGAAGCCACGGCUAACUACGUGCCAGCCGCCGCCGUAAGAC
rnacentral:rRNA from 1 species